rnacentral:rRNA from 1 species
AGUUUGAUCAUGGCUCAGGAUGAACGCUAGCGGGAGGCCUAACACAUGCAAGCCGAGCGGUAGAGAUUCUUCGGAAUCUUGAGAGCGGCGUACGGGUGCGGAACACGUGUGCAACCUACCUUUAUCUGGAGGAUAGCCUUUCGAAAGGAAGAUUAAUACUCCAUAAUAUAUUUGAUGGCAUCAUUAAAUAUUGAAAGCUCCGGCGGAUAGAGAUGGGCACGCGCAAGAUUAGCUAGUUGGUGAGGUAACGGCUCACCAAGGCAAUGAUCUUUAGAGGGCCUGAGAGGGUGAUCCCCACACUGGUACUGAGACACGGACCAGACUCCUACGGGAGGCAGCAGUGAGGAAUAUUGGUCAAUGGGUGCAAGCCUGAACCAGCCAUCCCGCGUGAAGGACGACUGCCUAUGGGUUGUAAACUUCUUUUGUAUAGGAAUAAACCUACUCUCGUGAGAGUAGCUGAAGGUACUAUACGAAUAAGCACCGGCUAACUCCGUG